GGGCACAGUUGAGAGAAGACGCAACAUUAUGUGUGGUGAAUUCACAAAUUUCAGCUUUUAUAAGACGUUGAAGCACGUAUAUGAUUACACUUGGGCAAUCAAUUUAUGCUUAAAAAUCUACAUGCUGUCAAAGAUCUUUUUGUAAGAAGCCCACGGAGAAGCUGCAACAUGGGCCUGCAAGCAACAAGGUCUUUGGUUGACAUAUAUCAUGCUCAAUUUCAUGUAUCUCAUAUAUCAAACCUGAAUAAAUAUUUUUAUAAUUCCU
rnacentral:lncRNA from 1 species